rnacentral:lncRNA from 1 species
ACAUGGUCUCAGUGCUGCGCUCCAAUGAACAGCAGGAAAAGAUGACCAAGGAUGGAGCUCCCCAGGAGGGCUUAGCCAUAGGGGAGAGGUCAAGAAGAGGAAUAGAAAGAGAUAAGUUAAGGAGACGAUCAAAAUUCUGAAAGAACAGAAGCAAGAAAGAGGCUCGGUGCUACAAGUACAAUGAGAUCGGAUACUUCAAGUGAGAUUGCCCGUAGUGGAAGAGCAAGAAGGGAGACAAGAGAGGAUCUGAUGCACUGAGUAUGGUGGCUGAUCAGGAGG